rnacentral:rRNA from 1 species
GACGAACGCUGGCGGCGUGCCUAAUACAUGCAAGUUGAGCGCUGAAGGUUGGUACUUGUACCGACUGGAUGAGCAGCGAACGGGUGAGUAACGCGUGGGGAAUCUGCCUUUGAGCGGGGGACAACAUUUGGAAACGAAUGCUAAUACCGCAUAAAAACUUUAAACACAAGUUUUAAGUUUGAAAGAUGCAAUUGCAUCACUCAAAGAUGAUCCCGCGUUGUAUUAGCUAGUUGGUGAGGUAAAGGCUCACCAAGGCGAUGAUACAUAGCCGACCUGAGAGGGUGAUCGGCCACAUUGGGACUGAGACACGGCCCAAACUCCUACGGGAGGCAGCAGUAGGGAAUCUUCGGCAAUGGACGAAAGUCUGACCGAGCAACGCCGCGUGAGUGAAGAAGGUUUUCGGAUCGUAAAACUCUGUUGGUAGAGAAGAACGUUGGUGAGAGUGGAAAGCUCAUACAGUGACGGUAACUAACCAGAAAGGGACGGCUAACUACGUG